CUGUGCGUGGGCCGGUGUUCGUUCCUAUCCUUAGCAUAACCCUUCUAUUCUCGGUGAUGCUGGUUUCGCUCCAGCCGAGGAAGAGGACUGCGAAAGGAUGGGUUCGUUCUGAGAUUAUACGGUCAAAACUUGAUCUGGAUAAUACCAGCGAAAGGAUCAUGCCUUCCCUUAGC
rnacentral:ncRNA from 1 species